UACGGAGGGUGCGAGCGUUGUCCGGAAUCAUUGGGCGUAAAGGGCGCGUAGGUGGCCCGGUCAGUUCGUGGUGAAAGCGCGGGGCUCAACCCUGCGUCGGCCAUGAAUACUGCCGCGGCUGGAGCACUGUAGAGGCAGGCGGAAUCCGGGUGUAGCGGUGGAAUGCGUAGAGAUCCGGAAGAACACCGGUGGCGAAGGCGGCCUGCUGGGCAGUGCUGCACUGAGGCGCGACAGCGUGGGGAG
rnacentral:rRNA from 1 species